GAGAGAGAGAAAUCGAGGGAGAGAGAGUGGGAGGGGGAGUAAGAGAGAGAAUUUGUCUGGCAUCUGGGAUUGUUAUGCUGUGCAGUCAUGGAUUCCUUUUUUACUGAACCCUUUGGUUGUAGCCAUGGAUCGACCAGAGGGAGCCCUCAAAACUGGAUGUGCACAAAGUCAACUCAGGUUUCUUCUGUCAGGAUUCCAAGUCUGAGGCCAGGAGUCAAUCAGUGUGUGAGUUGGAGGGGGCGUGGCGUCAACUCCUGGGUGUCUCGUCCCUGCUAGAUUGUUAAGUCGUACCUUGAUUCCGCAUCUCUGAACUCUUACCUGGAUUUUGCUUCUACAACCGGAUGAGCUACCACGCCCUAACCUGCAUUCACCUUCCUGUCUACCUGGACACCUGCAACCAUCUGCACGCCAUUCUCCCUGCCAGCACUCCGUCCAUACUCACCUCAUACGCUUUUCUGUUUGACCAUUAAACCACCCUUCACUGUCACUUCUCGUCCUUGUCUGCUUUUGGGUUCCUCUCAGGCCCUGACAACAAUGAAUGUCAGAGCAAAAACCAGUGGAAAAAGCUUUGACAUACAGUUGUGUCGAGGCGUAGAUCUUGAGAAGGUUAAUAAAAAAUUGCUACAGCAUUGAAUGUUCACAGGAACACAGUGGGCUCCAUCAUUGUAAAAUGGAAGAGGUUUGGAACCACCAAGACUCUUCCUAGACCUUGUUGUCUGGCCAAACUAAGGGUGUUGACCAUGAACCCAUUGGCUACUCUAACAGAGCUUCUGAGUUUCUCUGCAGAGAUGCGAGGACCUUCGAGAAUAACAACCGUCUCUGUAACACUCCCUCAAUCAAGACUUUAUGGUUAAGUGGCUGGUCGGAAGCCACAUCUGACUAAAAGGCAUAUGUCAUGAGGACAAAGAUUCUCUGGUCUGAUGAGGCCAAAAUCUAAUUAUUAGGUCUGAAUCUGUAAAUGGCAUCCAAUAUCUAUUUCCAUGCACAUUCUCUAGCAAGAAUGACUGCAGUAAAAC
ensembl:lncRNA